rnacentral:piRNA from 1 species
UAUCACAGGACCUCCCUUUGUGUGCCA